UACGAAGGGGGCUAGCGUUGCUCGGAAUCACUGGGCGUAAAGCGCACGUAGGCGGAUCUUUAAGUCAGGGGUGAAAUCCUGGAGCUCAACUCCAGAACUGCCUUUGAUACUGGAGAUCUCGAGUCCGGAAGAGGUGAGUGGAACUGCGAGUGUAGAGGUGAAAUUCGUAGAUAUUCGGAGGAACACCAGUGGCGAAGGCGGCUCACUGGUCCAUUACUGACGCUGAGGUGCGAAAGCGUGGGGAGCAAACAGG
rnacentral:rRNA from 1 species